rnacentral:rRNA from 1 species
GACGAACGCUGGCGGCGUGCUUAACACAUGCCAGUCGAACGGAAAGGCCCUGCUUUUGUGGGGUGCUCGAGUGGCGAACGGGUGAGUAACACGUGAGUAACCUGCCCUUGACUUUGGGAUAACUUCAGGAAACUGGGGCUAAUACCGGAUACGAGCUCCUGCUGCAUGGUGGGGGUUGGAAAGUUUCGGCGGUUGGGGAUGGACUCGCGGCUUAUCAGCUUGUUGGUGGGGUAGUGGCUUACCAAGGCUUUGACGGGUAGCCGGCCUGAGAGGGUGACCGGCCACAUUGGGACUGAGAUACGGCCCAGACUCCUACGGGAGGCAGCAGUGGGGAAUAUUGCACAAUGGGCGGAAGCCUGAUGCAGCAACGCCGCGUGCGGGAUGACGGCCUUCGGGUUGUAAACCGCUUUCGCCUGUGACGAAGCGUGAGUGACGGUAAUGGGUAAAGAAGCACCGGCUAACUACGUG